CCGCCCGCAGCCACCUGCCGUGCCCGCAGCCCGGGGCCGCCCGCUCGCUUUUUGUCUCCCGGGAGCGGGGCUGAGCCGGGCAGGAGCGAAGAGAAAAAGCCCCGUGAGGGCGGCGAGCCGCCCCAGCGCUGCGUGUCACGGGAAGCACCGGCCUUUAUUGAAGGGCUGCGGAACGAACGCGGGCACCUGCGGCCGCCCUGCGGAGCUCCGCGGCCGUUCCCCCGAGGCCCCGCGGUUCCACAACUUCCCCCCGGGCUCAGGCUCCUCCCGGGCCGCCCCUCGCGGCGAUACCGCCACCCGCCCGGGCACGGUGUGCGGGGGUGGGGGGGGCCACGCGCGAGCACGACGCCGCACGCGCUGUUUCGCGCCGCGGUCCCUUUAAGGCCGUGUGUCCUCACUGCGCAUGCGCGGCCGUUCCCCUCACUGCGCCUGCGCGGCUCCCUGUGCCGCUCGCUGUUCUCCUUUGUCUCCCGUCUCCUCGCAGCCCGAUGCCCGCCGCUCUGAUUGGCAGCGCGCGCUGCGGGCCGCCGCCGGAACGCAGCCAAUCGGCUCCUCGCAAACAGCCGCCCGCCCGCCUCGGCCCGCCCCGCCGCGAUCGGCCGGUGGGGAAGAUGCAGGGCAACAAGGGCUUCAACGUGGACAAACAGAACCACGCGCCGCGGAAGCAGCACCAGCACCAACACCAGCAGCACCCGCCGCCCCCCAUCCCCGCCAACGGGCAGCAGGCCGACAGCCAGAGUGAGUCCUGCGUGCCGCCGGGACUCGGGGCCAGCGCCGUUGUGUUCGGGGCGGGGCGGGUUCCGUCUGUGUGGGGGUUGUCGAGGGAAAUUCGCACCGAGUCCGGUCGGUUCGCAGCUGUGGGCGCUGGUUCCGGCCCCGCGGGUGGGACGGGGCAGAUUUCAGCACGUCCCGUUUGUUUCCCCCCUCCCACAAAAGGGUUUGUUCAACGAGCUCUUUAUUGAGUGUGAGGGGAGCAGAGCUGCUCUGUCUAUAGACGCAGCUGUUCUUAGGGUCGUUUAGGUUGUCCAGCCAUCACUCGUGCCCACUAAGCCACGAUCCUGGUCCUGGAACAGGCUGCCCAGUGAGGUUGUGGAUGCCCCGUCCUUGGAGGU
rnacentral:lncRNA from 1 species